rnacentral:rRNA from 1 species
AUUGAACGCUGGCGGCAGGCUUAACACAUGCAAGUCGAGCGGAGAUGAGGUGCUUGCACCUUAUCUUAGCGGCGGACGGGUGAGUAAUGCUUAGGAAUCUGCCUAUUAGUGGGGGACAACAUUCCGAAAGGAAUGCUAAUACCGCAUACGUCCUACGGGAGAAAGCAGGGGAUCUUCGGACCUUGCGCUAAUAGAUGAGCCUAAGUCGGAUUAGCUAGUUGGUGGGGUAAAGGCCUACCAAGGCGACGAUCUGUAGCGGGUCUGAGAGGAUGAUCCGCCACACUGGGACUGAAACACGGCCCAGACUCCUACGGGAGGCAGCAGUGGGGAAUAUUUGACAAUGGGGGGAACCCUGAUCCAGCCAUGCCGCGUGUGUGAAGAAGGCCUUAUGGUUGUAAAGCACUUUAAGCGAGGAGGAGGCUACUGAGACUAAUACUCUUGGAUAGUGGACGUUACUCGCAGAAUAAGCACCGGCUAACUCUGUGCCAGCAGCCGCCGUAACAC